rnacentral:rRNA from 1 species
GGGUUCCCGGGGCCUUAGUCUGCAUCAGCAAUGCCGCGUGCAGGAUGAAGGCCCUCGGGUUGUAAACUGCUUUUGUACGGAACGAAAAGCCUGGGGCUAAUAUCCCCGGGUCAUGACGGUACCGUAAGAAUAAGCACCGGCUAACUACGUGCCAGCAGCCGCGGUAAU